GGGCAGGUCAAGGAGACACCAGAUGAGAGAGAGAGAGAGAGAGGGGGCAGGUCAAGGAGACACCAGAUGAGAGAGAGAGAGGGGGCAGGUCAAGGAGACACCAGAUGAGAGAGAGAGAGAGGGGGCAGGUCAAGGAGACACCAGAUGAGAGAGAGAGAGAGGGGGCAGGUCAAGGAGACACCAGAUGAGAGAGAGAGAGAGGGGGCAGGUCAAGGAGACACCAGAUGAGAGAGAGAGAGAGAGGGGGCAGGUCAAGGAGACACCAGAUGAGAGAGAGAGAGAGAGAGGGGGCAGGUCAAGGAGACACCAGAUGAGAGAGAGAGAGAGAGGGGGCAGGUCAAGGAGACACCAGAUGAGAGAGAGAGAGGGGGCAGGUCAAGGAGACACCAGAUGAGAGAGAGAGGGG
ensembl:lncRNA